UGAAAGAGUUUGCUUGUAAAUGCGAUACUUUCUCGAGACGAGUGCUAGUAUAGUCGGAGAAAAAAAGUGGUGCGAGUUUGUACUUUCUUUUAUCGAUGUAUUAGUUGACACACACACGCGAGAUGCAUCCUGGAGAUUAAUCGAUAUUCAACGUUUGCCAGAAUAGCGAAAUUCUAUAUCAACAUCCUUUGCCAUUUGUCGAGCAUCGAUACGAAUUAAUACAAUCGUGAAACGACGACGACGACGGAGACUAUGACAACAACGACGACAGCGAUGAUGUUACUGCAAGAUCGAGCGCCAACAGUUUUCAAAAAAUGGUCUUACCAUCGAGUCCGUCGAGCAUUUCUGGGGGAUUAUGGUGUUCGGACGAUUCAAUUGUUGACACACCAUCGCUUAGCGUGCCUGUUGUUGCUCCUCCUUCUUCUCCUAGCAGUCCAACUGGAUGACCCUGCACACGUCACGAUUAUACAUUAUAAAUUCAACUGUGGACAAAGACACUUCGAGGGAUUUAUCUACAAAUUCUUCCGUCUCGAAAAAUAUCAGUUACUUUACUGUUAUCGCAUUCGUCUACUACGCUAAAUUAAACAACGAUUAAAUAGAACGAAAUAUAAGGGAAACAAAUGUUAACUUUCGAAUAAUCUGACCGGAUAAGGAUUCAUUUUAAAUAUAUUUAAUUUAUUUGGAAACAUGAGAUAGUAAAAGAGAUAAUAUCGAAAAUGAAAUUGAAAUCGAAAUGUUAUCUUUUCCUGUUUCCUAGGAACUUUUUUUAGUUUGUAUAAAUAAAAUGAACUAUUGAAAUUGAUUCAAAUUAAUAAAACAGAAUCACGUCGUCUUUUAUUUACCAUUUGCAUAAUUAAUAAUAAUAAGUAUGGGAGGGAGGAAGAAGAAAAUAUAAUUUGUCGAUUUCAUGAAAGACAAUUCAUUAAAAUCUUAAAUGCAUGCUUAAUCGUACAUUUCACAGAAAAAGUCAGCAUUCUCUAUAAUAAAAGUAUUGGAUUUUCACAUUUAUUUACAUUUCACGCGAGAGAUAUUCAUAACAGAAAUACACAUGCUUUGGUAAUUCGUUUCUUUCUAACAAUACUUCAAUGUUAAUAACACACACUGACAGUGUAAAUGUUAUUACAUAAAAAUAUUAGACCCGAAAAUAUACAAAUGUAAAUUUUAGCAUAUAACUCGUGAAAGCGUAAAUAUUUUUUCACGUUAAAGAUAUCAUUAGAUACAUAAACAUAUUUUUCGCUUAGACAUCUAUGUAUUAAUUUUAUAAACUUGAACAACAGUUGCAUUUUGAUGUAAUAUUAAAAUCAAAUAUUUAAACUAUUUAUAAUUUCCAUAAAAUAUUUCGUCAUACAAUAUCUGCUAAGAUACAUACAACUUUAAAAAAGGAUUUUACAUUAUUUUACUUUAAUUAUACAAAUAUAAGAUAUUUAAAAAUGUCACAACAAGAGCUAAAAUUCUUGAGUCAAUUGAAAAUAUAUGUAUAGCACGAAAUAUUAAACACAUCAUUAUUUAAAAUUUGGUUCAUUUCAAUAAAAAUUAAUUACAAAGAUCUUGUAAAAGAAAUAGAAGGUCUUGUAAAAA
rnacentral:misc_RNA from 1 species